rnacentral:tRNA from 1 species
AGUUAAUGAACUUGUAAAGUAUAUAUUUUGAAAAUAUAAAAAAGGUAUUAAAAUUUCCUAUUAACUU